GGCCUUCGCAAGGGCAUUGCCACGCUUACCACGCUCACCGCAUGGUGCAUUUGGAAGCACCGCAACCGCUGCGUGUUCGACGGCGAUACCCCGUCCGCCUCCACGCUGUUGACGUCCAUUCAAGACGAGGCCCGGGCAUGGGCUCGAGCUGGUGCUCGCGGACUAAAUCUUUUGUUGGCAUAG
rnacentral:rRNA from 1 species